AUGAAAUCUGACUGUGUCAAGUGUCAAAAGAGAACCACUCAUUUCAUGUAACACGAACGUCGACUGUUAGCGGCAUACCUACGAUAUUUUCUAUUUUUAUCCACGCCAAGAGAUCACGAUACAAAACAUUUAUGCAGUCCGACGACGAGGAUACUUCGUUGCAUUCAUGCUUCAACUCUUUAAAAACAGCCGUAAUGGGUUGUUGCUAUAGCAUUUGCCACAAAGACAACGACCCACAGGAGAACGUUAUAAACGAAAGGACACAUCUACUAGAAGUAACGGAGCAGCAACAGGAGACGCUGAUACCUGUGGUAUCAGCGUCCACACCACCGAGGAAACCAGACGAACAGACUGCUUUGAAUAGGAUACUUCAUGAGACUGCAAAUAAUGUGAUCGACGUGGGCGCGCUGGGCCCGUACACACUGGAGGCCAGCGCGUACAGCGAGAGGGUGCGCGUGUACACGGCGCGGGUGGCGGCCGUGAGCGUGGCGGCCCCCCGCCCCGCGCCGCGGCUCCUCGCUGACGUCACCCACGCCGAGCGAGUGGCCCUACUCAGCUGUCCCCCAAUACCGGCCGCAGAUAAGGAGCUGAUCAGUGGCGCAGUGAGACGAGCCGCCGCCGCCAUAUCGGAGCUCAGGGUCGAGCACCGGGAGGACCUGGUGGUGCCCUUCCGGGUCCCCUAAGGCGGCGAUGGGGGCCGUCCCCCCACUCGGGAGCCUUUUGAUAAGAACUUUGUGAAUUAUAUCGGAAGCUUAUAAAUCCACGUGUUAAGAAUGUGAACUGACUGAUAUUGUUAUUGACAAAAUUAUUUCAAAUUGUUUUAUUUUCUCAUAAAUGAACCCACCUAGAUUUUGUAUUCGCGAAAAACGAUUAUAACUCCUUAACGUUUAGGUGCAGAAUCGGAUUUUGUUGUUUGAUCGCUUUCAUUGACGUUGCCGUCCGCUGUACAUCUAUUUUCCCACUAAAUAUUUGCGGCCUCAUUUAAAACUACAUUACCCGUCUCUCUUUCUCGAGUCAUAAAGUAAAUGCGAGUAAAGGAGAAGAGAUUUAAGUUCAAUCUUCCGAUUAAUAGUGCGAGUAUUGUUCCGACUGACAUUUCCCAUAGACAGUUAAUUAUCUUUACCACAGACAAUAAUAGAUUUUUUUCGGUACAGACAAUUUAAUAAUUAAUAAUUAUAUCAGAGAACGACCGUUGAUUUUGCAUGUAUUGAUAAUAAUUUUAAGACUUUUGAUAAUUAAAAUAAAUUAAUUCGACGUUGAUCGUAAUAAUUGGAAUUAAUAAAGUAGUAAUUAAUAAACCCUUUGUUUGAUGAGAUUUUGGUGUCCCCGAUAGGAUAUUUAAUAAUCGUAAAAAAAAACCGAAUUUGUGUAUUAAAAAAAAAAGAAGUCAUUGCAAACGCUCCUUUGAGUUCCAUUAUUUAUUUUAUUACUAAUUAACUUUUAAAUGUAAUCAUUCAGACAGCUUUUAUUCAAAUAAGCGUCCACUGUGUAUCCAGUUUCAUCCCAGCGAAGAAUCGAUGAUAAAGUUAAUGUUUAAUCUUUUAAAUAUAUGUAUACAUAUACGUGUGUCAGUUUCAGGCCGUGUGUUCGUCAGCCUGAUACGGCAAAAAAAAAUAUCUCCUACUAAAUCACUUAGGAUUUUUUCAAAUCAUUAUCCACAUAAAUAUGAUAUGACUAAUUAGGGGUAUCAAUAUAACUCUAACCUCACUAAUACAAUUUUUGACACAGAACAAUUGGAAUAUUUCUUUCGUUUCUGGAAUCAGAUGUAAUUUGUAAAGAAUUUCUUCUGAAAAGUGACACAUUUUUAACAUUUGCAAAAGAUUUGAUCAGAUGUUAAUUCUCAUUUUUAUUUAAAAAGCAUGAUAUGAUAAUAAUGUUAUAAUUAAUCCAAUUGUAAGCACAAUUAUAUUAGUAUGUUAUGUGUGUUUAUUUACAGCACCUACGUGUAUGUUAAUUUUUGAAUUGCAAUUAAGAUUAUUAUUAUCGAUUUUUUUUUGCAUAUAUAAUAAUAUAUUUUCAUUAAUUCGAGUCACUUUUUAAGUUUAUUCUGAGUAAACUUUUGAUUUGUCUAGAUUUGAUUGUUCUAGAACAAUCGAUUUGUGAAUGCAAUUAGUUUUUCGUGUAAAAUAAACAUUGUAACUUUUGCAUUGAAUAUUUGUAUCAAAUUAAUAUUAUUUAAUGUGAUUUUUUCAUAAUUUUGUUCGUUUCUCUUGUGUUCGACUACGGUCAGUGAGGCCUAAUCAAAGUCAGGGGACAGCGUGGACGUGGGCACCCCGACCCGACUUCUGCCACAAAGCAGACAAACAUUCCGGUUUGAAGGGUGGGACACUAGUUGUAUUGAGACUUUAGACCUCAUGCCAUAAGCUGAACUUUGUCUAUAGGCCCUGGAACGGCUACUUAAGUUAUAUAAUGUGGGUAUCAAAAAAAAACCUUAAAUUAAAAAAAAAGUACCACUAGCAAACUAAGUUAUUGAAAUUUUGAUUUAUAAGAGAUGUUUAAUGAAAUUGAAUAUCGAAGAGAAAAUGUUUAUUUUUGUGUAAUGAAAAAAUAAAAAUUAUUAAAAACAUGCUUGCCUUUCGUAAUCUUAUCGAUAUUAUUCUGUAAUUAAUGUAAAAAUAUAUCAAAUUUUGAAAUGAACUAUGAUGUAGUUUAUGAAGAAAAUCGACUGACUGUAGUUAGUUACGAAUAUAAGUAUUUAUAUAAAUAUAAUAAAAUAUUACAUGUCAUCAUAGCAACGUCUUUAACUAGGACGGUCCUUAGACAACAAGAAUUGGGUCAAGUAUGAGAAUAUAAUUUAUACAUAUUUAAAA